rnacentral:rRNA from 1 species
UUUUUUUUUUUUUUGUUUUAUUUCUGUCGGAUGAACGCUGGCGGCGUGCCUAAUACAUGCAAGUCGAGCGAACGGACGAGAAGCUUGCUUCUCUGAUGUUAGCGGCGGACGGGUGAGUAACACGUGGAUAACCUACCUAUAAGACUGGGAUAACUUCGGGAAACCGGAGCUAAUACCGGAUAAUAUUUUGAACCGCAUGGUUCAAAAGUGAAAGACGGUCUUGCUGUCACUUAUAGAUGGAUCCGCGCUGCAUUAGCUAGUUGGUAAGGUAACGGCUUACCAAGGCAACGAUGCAUAGCCGACCUGAGAGGGUGAUCGGCCACACUGGAACUGAGACACGGUCCAGACUCCUACGGGAGGCAGCAGUAGGGAAUCUUCCGCAAUGGGCGAAAGCCUGACGGAGCAACGCCGCGUGAGUGAUGAAGGUCUUCGGAUCGUAAAACUCUGUUAUUAGGGAAGAACAUAUGUGUAAGUAACUGUGCACAUCUUGACGGUACCUAAUCAGAAAGCCACGGCUAACUACGUGCCAGCAGCCGCGGUAAUACGUAGGUGGCAAGCGUUAUCCGGAAUUAUUGGGCGUAAAGCGCGCGUAGGCGGUUUUUUAAGUCUGAUGUGAAAGCCCACGGCUCAACCGUGGAGGGUCAUUGGAAACUGGAAAACUUGAGUGCAGAAGAGGAAAGUGGAAUUCCAUGUGUAGCGGUGAAAUGCGCAGAGAUAUGGAGGAACACCAGUGGCGAAGGCGACUUUCUGGUCUGUAACUGACGCUGAUGUGCGAAAGCGUGGGGAUCAAACAGGAUUAGAUACCCUGGUAGUCCACGCCGUAAACGAUGAGUGCUAAGUGUUAGGGGGUUUCCGCCCCUUAGUGCUGCAGCUAACGCAUUAAGCACUCCGCCUGGGGAGUACGACCGCAAGGUUGAAACUCAAAGGAAUUGACGGGGACCCGCACAAGCGGUGGAGCAUGUGGUUUAAUUCGAAGCAACGCGAAGAACCUUACCAAAUCUUGACAUCCUUUGACAACUCUAGAGAUAGAGCCUUCCCCUUCGGGGGACAAAGUGACAGGUGGUGCAUGGUUGUCGUCAGCUCGUGUCGUGAGAUGUUGGGUUAAGUCCCGCAACGAGCGCAACCCUUAAGCUUAGUUGCCAUCAUUAAGUUGGGCACUCUAAGUUGACUGCCGGUGACAAACCGGAGGAAGGUGGGGAUGACGUCAAAUCAUCAUGCCCCUUAUGAUUUGGGCUACACACGUGCUACAAUGGACAAUACAAAGGGCAGCGAAACCGCGAGGUCAAGCAAAUCCCAUAAAGUUGUUCUCAGUUCGGAUUGUAGUCUGCAACUCGACUACAUGAAGCUGGAAUCGCUAGUAAUCGUAGAUCAGCAUGCUACGGUGAAUACGUUCCCGGGUCUUGUACACACCGCCCGUCACACCACGAGAGUUUGUAACACCCGAAGCCGGUGGAGUAACCUUUUAGGAGCUAGCCGUCGAAGGUGGGACAAAUGAUUGGGGUGAAUCUAC